rnacentral:rRNA from 1 species
ACGCUAGCUACAGGCUUAACACAUGCAAGUCGAGGGGCAUCAGGAAGAAAGCUUGCUUUCUUUGCUGGCGACCGGCGCACGGGUGAGUAACACGUAUCCAACCUGCCCUUUACUCGGGGAUAGCCUUUCGAAAGAAAGAUUAAUACCCGAUAGCAUAAUGAUUCCGCAUGGUUUCAUUAUUAAAGGAUUCCGGUAAAGGAUGGGGAUGCGUUCCAUUAGGUUGUUGGUGAGGUAACGGCCCACCAAGCCUUCGAUGGAUAGGGGUUCUGAGAGGAAGGUCCCCCACAUUGGAACUGAGACACGGUCCAAACUCCUACGGGAGGCAGCAGUGAGGAAUAUUGGUCAAUGGGCGCUAGCCUGAACCAGCCAAGUAGCGUGAAGGAUGAAGGCUCUAUGGGUCGUAAACUUCUUUUAUAUAAGAAUAAAGUGCAGUAUGUAUACUGUUUUGUAUGUAUUAUAUGAAUAAGGAUCGGCUAACUCCGUGCCAGCAGCCGCGGUAAUACGGAGGAUCCGAGCGUUAUCCGGAUUUAUUGGGUUUAAAGGGAGCGUAGGUGGACUGGUAAGUCAGUUGUGAAAGUUUGCGGCUCAACCGUAAAAUUGCAGUUGAUACUGUCAGUCUUGAGUACAGUAGAGGUGGGCGGAAUUCGUGGUGUAGCGGUGAAAUGCUUAGAUAUCACGAAGAACUCCGAUUGCGAAGGCAGCUCACUGGACUGCAACUGACACUGAUGCUCGAAAGUGUGGGUAUCAAACAGGAUUAGAUACCCUGGUAGUCCACACAGUAAACGAUGAAUACUCGCUGUUUGCGAUAUACAGUAAGCGGCCAAGCGAAAGCAUUAAGUAUUCCACCUGGGGAGUACGCCGGCAACGGUGAAACUCAAAGGAAUUGACGGGGGCCCGCACAAGCGGAGGAACAUGUGGUUUAAUUCGAUGAUACGCGAGGAACCUUACCCGGGCUUAAAUUGCAGUGGAAUGAUGUGGAAACAUGUCAGUGAGCAAUCACCGCUGUGAAGGUGCUGCAUGGUUGUCGUCAGCUCGUGCCGUGAGGUGUCGGCUUAAGUGCCAUAACGAGCGCAACCCUUAUCUUUAGUUACUAACAGGUUAUGCUGAGGACUCUAGAGAGACUGCCGUCGUAAGAUGUGAGGAAGGUGGGGAUGACGUCAAAUCAGCACGGCCCUUACGUCCGGGGCUACACACGUGUUACAAUGGGGGGUACAGAAGGCAGCUAGCGGGUGACCGUAUGCUAAUCCCAAAAUCCUCUCUCAGUUCGGAUCGAAGUCUGCAACCCGACUUCGUGAAGCUGGAUUCGCUAGUAAUCGCGCAUCAGCCACGGCGCGGUGAAUACGUUCCCGGGCCUUGUACACACCGCCCGUCAAGCCAUGGGAGCCGGGGGUACCUGAAGUACGUAACCGCAAGGAUCGUCCUAGGGUAAAACUGGUGA